UUGUGUUCACACAGAAACCUGAACAUGAUUGUUCAGAGCAGCUUUAUUCUUAAUAGCUUCAAACUGCAAACAACCCAGACGUUCUUCACAGGCCGUUCUUCACCCACAUGCUGUUCAGCAGCAAUAGGAGGAACAGAUGCCGACGUAGCGAGAAACCUUCAGAGGGAAUCUGAGUGGGAAGGUCCCUCACCGUGUGACUCCACUUCAGAGCAUUCUUGAAAGGACAGAAGUAUGGAAACGGAGAACAGAAGAGGAAGCUGUGGUUCAGAAGGUGAGGUAACUGCCAAGACCACACUGCUCGGAGCCCAGCAGAGGGUGCAGCCAGAACAACUGACCAAUAGGAACGGAGAGGUGCAGGGGAUCUCGGAGGCUCAAGGACAAUAUUUUUAGAACUUUGCUUAAGACAAAGGAUCAUGGGGAAGACCAGAGGACCAGAUGCCCCUUUGCCACUGAAGAUCUUAGACUCUGAAAUGGCAUGCAUCCCAGGCCCCACAUGUGGGGGUCAAGGGAAGGCAGGACCCUGUCUAUAGCAGCUCCUGGCAUUAGCAAGGCGGCCCCCUCCUCAGUUUCCUGCACACCCUUGAACAGGAUGCACACACGAGGACACAGACUAGGCCCCCACUCACACCAGGGGUUAUGACCAGUCAUCCAGGACAAGAAGGCAACAGCCACACUCCCCUGUAACGUGCUGCAUGUUACAAUUUGAAGAAGCAACACAGGCUGCUGAGAAGUUGAAGCCUGCUGACCAGGAUGCCCCAGGCCUACAUCUCAGAAACCAGUGGUUUCAUCCAGUUUGCAACCACAACAGAAGCCAUGUGGGAUCCUUGGGACAUGGAUGUUUCAAGGCCUGAGAACACAGGACUGGACAGAAAUAACCCCACAUCUGCAUGAGAUGGCAGUUCAUAUUAGCAUGUUACCAUUUGAGUGAGAGAUGCGUUCAACAAAAAGUUCUAGCCUCAUCUAGCUUUGUCCAGGCGGAGUAUUCUGAGAUGUGAAAUUAUGUAUCUGGAGAAGACAGGCCAGGAAUGACUAGAAAUUAAUUAGUGGAAAACAGUAAGGCCUUUGUCAUUUACCCAUUCAAGCAACUAGCACUAGAAACUUUCCAUUUUAAAAGCUGCAGCUGGAUCUCCAGAAAGCCAGAUGGAAUUCUGCCUAAACUCACUUGACGUGGUGUGGGGACAGCCAGGAGUGCAGUUUCCAGGCUCUCGGCCUCACGUGGAAAGGUG